GUCGUACAGGUCUCCGUAGGUGAACCUGCGGAGGGAUCAUUACACAAAUAUGAAGGCGGGCUGGAACCUCUCGGGGUUACAGCCUUGCUGAAUUAUUCACCCUUGUCUUUUGCGUACUUCUUGUUUCCUUGGUGGGUUCGCCCACCAUUAGGACAAACAUAAACCUUUUGUAAUUGCAAUCAGCGUCAGUAACAAAUUAAUAAUUACAACUUUCAACAACGGAUCUCUUGGUUCUGGCAUCGAUGAAGAACGCAGCGAAAUGCGAUAAGUAGUGUGAAUUGCAGAAUUCAGUGAAUCAUCGAAUCUUUGAACGCACAUUGCGCCCUUUGGUAUUCCAAAGGGCAUGCCUGUUCGAGCGUCAUUUGUACCCUCAAGCUUUGCUUGGUGUUGGGCGUCUUGUCUCUAGCUUUGCUGGAGACUCGCCUUAAAGUAAUUGGCAGCCGGCCUACUGGUUUCGGAGCGCAGCACAAGUCGCACUCUCUAUCAGCAAAGGUCUAGCAUCCAUUAAGCCUUUUUUUCAACUUUUGACCUCGGAUCAGGUAGGGAUACCCGCUGAACUUAA
rnacentral:rRNA from 1 species